rnacentral:rRNA from 1 species
UACAGAGGUGGCAAGCGUUGUUCGGAAUUACUGGGCGUAAAGGGCGCGUAGGCGGCCAUCUAAGUCAGACGUGAAAUCCCCCGGCUUAACCUGGGAACUGCGUCUGAUACUGGACGGCUCGAGUUUGGGAGAGGGAUGUGGAAUUCCAGGUGUAGCGGUGAAAUGCGCAGAUAUCAGGAGGAACACCGGUGGCGAAGGCGGAUCUCUGGGCCUUACCUGACGCUCAGGCACGAAAGCUAGGGGAGCGAACGGG